rnacentral:rRNA from 1 species
CUAAGUUACUAAGGGCGUACGGUGGAUGCCUUGGCACUGGCAGGCGAUGAAGGACGUGGCUACCUGCGAUAAGCCCCGGUAAGAUGGUAACAAUCUUGGACCCGGGGAUUUCCGAAUCGGGCAACCGAAUACAGGUAAUGCUGUAUUACAAAGUGCGAACGGAGGGAACUGAAAUAUCUAAGUACCUCCAGGAAUAGAAAACAAAAGUGAUUUCCCAAGUAGCGACGAGCGAAACGGAAACAGCCUAAACCUUCUGACGUGUUAAAGAAUGCAAUCGUUGCGUCAGGGGUGUCACGGGACUUUUAGCCGGAUUUGCAUUACGGCAAAGAGUUACAAAUCUUAAGGAUAACAGAAUCUUCUGGAAAGUUGAACCACAGAAAGUGAAAGUCUUGUAUGUGAAAUCUUUAAGACUCUUGAAAGUAUCCCAAGUACUGCGGAGCACGUGAAAUUCUGCAGGAAUUCGUCGGAACCAUCCGAUAAGGCUAAAUACUCGCCAGUGACCGAUAGUGAACAAGUACUGUGAAGGAAAGGUGAAAAGUACUCCUAACAGGAGAGUGAAAUAGUACCUGAAACCGUAUGCCUACAAACGGUAGUAGUCUUGUAAGGGAUUCGUCCCUUAUGAAGAUGACUGCGUGCCUUUUGCUUAAUGAUCCAACGAGUUACUCGUAUGUUGUCGGGUAAGAUUUUAAGAAUCGUACCCUAAGCGAAAGCGAGUCCUAAUAGGGCGACAAAUGAUAACAUGCGGUAGACGCGAAACUGUGUGAUCUACCCUUGACCAGGAUGAAGUACCGGUAAAACGGUAUGGAGGUCCGAACCAGUGUGGGUUGAAAACCGCUUGGAUGAGUUGAGGGUAGGAGCGAAAGACCAAUCAAACUCAGAAAUAGCUCGUACUCCCCGAAAUAGCUUUAGGGCUAGCCUCGGAUAAGAGUAUGCAGGAGGUAGAGCACUAAUUGGGCUAGGGCUGUCACAACGGUACCAAACCCAGAUAAACUCCGAAUUCCUGUCAUAUGUUCUCCGGGAGUCAGGCAGUGGGGGAUAAGCUUCAUUGCCAAAAGGGAAAUAACCCAGACCACCUCUUAAGGCCCCCAAGUCUAUGUUAACAGACUAAGGAUGUUGAGUUGCUCAGACAACUAGGAUGUUGGCUUAGAAGCAGCCAUUCAUUUAAAGAGUGCGUAAUAGCUCACUAGUCAAGCGACUCAGCGCCGAUAAUAAUCGGGACUAAACAUAGCGCCGAAAUAGUGGUACCGCUUUGCGGUAGGUAGGGGAGCAUUCUGUAUGCGACUGAAGGUUAGGCGUGAGCCCGGCUGGAGCGUACAGAAAAGAAAAUGUUGGAAUGAGUAACGAUAAUGAAGAUGAAAAUUCUUCACACCGAAAGUCUAAGGUUUCCUGAGCAAUGUUCAUCAUCUCAGGGUUAGUCGGUCCCUAAGCUGAGGCCAAACGGCGUAGGUAAUGGGAAACAGGUUAAAUAUUCCUGUACCAUCGACAUUUAAGCAAGAAUGACGCAGGAGUGAAAGGGAAGCCACCUGUUGGAUUAGGUGGUCUAAGGUCGUAGGGAAACCGAAAGCCGAACGGGAUGGCGCAAGCCUACAAACUUCCCCUAAUCAGGCUGCCAAGAAAAGUUCUUGUGUAUACUAAGAUGACCGUACCGCAAACCGACACAGGUAGACGAGAUGAGUAUUCUAAGGUGCUCGUGUGAGCCGUGGUCAAGGAACUCGGCAAAUUAACCCCGUAACUUCGGGAUAAGGGGUGCCUCGUGAGAGGCCGCAGAGAAAUGGACCAAGCGACUGUUUAACAAAAACACAUGUCUAUGCAAAUCCUUUAAGGAGAAGUAUAUGGACUGACACCUGCCCGGUGCUGGAAGGUUAAGGGGAGUGCUUAGUCGAAAGGCGAAGGUGUGAACCGAAGCCCCAGUAAACGGCGGCCGUAACUAUAACGGUCCUAAGGUAGCGAAAUUCCUUGUCGGGU